rnacentral:tRNA from 6 species
GGCGGCGUAGCCAAGUGGUAAGGCAUGGGCCUGCAAAGCCUUGAUCACCGGUUCGAAUCCGGUCGCCGCCU